UACGAAGGGAGCUAGCGUUGUUCGGAAUCACUGGGCGUAAAGCGCACGUAGGCGGAUGUGUCAGUCAGGGGUGAAAUCCCGGAGCUCAACUUCGGAACUGCCUUUGAUACAGCACGUCUUGAGUCCGGAAGAGGUGGGUGGAAUUCCUAGUGUAGAGGUGAAAUGCGCAGAUAUCAGGAAGAACACCCGUGGCGAAAGCGGCUCUCUGGAACGGUACUGACGCUGAGACGCGAAAGCGUGGGGAGCGAACAGG
rnacentral:rRNA from 1 species